rnacentral:rRNA from 1 species
UACGUAGGGCGCAAGCGUUGUCCGGAAUUAUUGGGCGUAAAGAGCUCGUAGGCGGCUUGUCACGUCGGAUGUGAAAGCCCGGGGCUUAACCCCGGGUCUGCAUUCGAUACGGGCAGGCUAGAGUGUGGUAGGGGAGAUCGGAAUUCCUGGUGUAGCGGUGGAAUGCGCAGAUAUCAGGAAGAACACCGGUGGCGAAGGCGGCUCUCUGGGCCUUACCUGACGCUGAGGAGCGAAAGCGUGGGUAGCGAGCAGG